GUUAUUAGUGAAAGUUUAAAAUUCCAACACAAAGAAAGGGGAAGGUAAUGGACAUCUGGCUGAAAAGAUGGACAUCCUGCGGAAUUUCUGG